rnacentral:rRNA from 1 species
AAUCAACGCUGGCGGCGUGCCUAACACAUGCAAGUCGCACGAGAAAGGGGAGCAAUCCCUGAGUACAGUGGCGCACGGGUGAGUAACACGUGACUAACCUACCCUCGAGUGGGGAAUAACCUGGGGAAACCCGGGCUAAUACCGCAUAACACUUACGAGUCAAAGCAGCAAUGCGCUUGGGGAGGGGGUCGCGGCCGAUUAGCUAGUUGGCGGGGUAAUGGCCCACCAAGGCAUUGAUCGGUAUCCGGCCUGAGAGGGCGCACGGACACACUGGAACUGAAACACGGUCCAGACUCCUACGGGAGGCAGCAGUGGGGAAUUUUGCGCAAUGGGGGAAACCCUGACGCAGCAACGCCGCGUGGAGGAUGAAGUCUCUUGGGACGUAAACUCCUUUCGAUCGGGACGAUAAUGACGGUACCGGAAGAAGAAGCCCCGGCUAACUUCGUGCCAGCAGCCGCGGUAAUACGAGGGGGGCAAGCGUUGUUCGGAAUUAUUGGGCGUAAAGGGCGCGUAGGCGGCUUGGCAAGUCUUGUGUGAAAUCUUCAGGCUCAACCUGAAGUCUGCACGGGAAACUGCCGGGCUAGAGUGUGGGAGAGGUGAGUGGAAUUUCCGGUGUAGCGGUGAAAUGCGUAGAUAUCGGAAGGAACACCCGUGGCGAAAGCGGCUCACUGGACCACAACUGACGCUGAGGCGCGAAAGCUAGGGGAGCAAACAGGAUUAGAUACCCUGGUAGUCCUAGCCCUAAACGAUGAUCGCUUGGUGUGGCGGGUAUCCAAUCCCGUCGUACCGAAGCUAACGCGAUAAGCGAUCCGCCUGGGGAGUACGGUCGCAAGACUGAAACUCAAAGGAAUUGACGGGGGCCCGCACAAGCGGUGGAGCAUGUGGUUUAAUUCGACGCAACGCGAAGAACCUUACCUGGGCUCGAAAUGUAGUGGACUGGGGUGGAAACAUCCCUUCCC